AUUGAACCGGACCCGAACCGGGCUAUCGGUCCAACCGGACCAGCCCUUUUAAGUGAACCCAAGCCUUUGUCCCCCUCAUUUCAACGUGAACGAAGCUGAAAGCUUCAGAGGGAAAAGAAGAACGAGACAUUCCCGUAAACCCUCACGUUAACUUCCGUACGCCGUAACUUCUCCGUUCGAGCUCCGAUCGUCGCACCGUUUGCGGCCACGCGUUCACCGCGUCGAGCUCUACAUUUCUACCGGAACAAUUUCAUAGGAUCCAAUUAGCUUGAGAGAAACGUUCACUCUUGCUUAUGUGAAGCUUGGGUAAGAUGCAGGUCGGGAGCCAUCUCGUUAGGCGUCUGGACUCUUAAAGCGGAGGGGUUACUGGAUAGUGUUGUUGGAUAGUUUUGUUGUACAAUGAUGUAUAUAUAUGUACUUAACUUUCUCUCCGCAUAACUUGUCCUUUUUGAUUCUCUUAGAGGUUUAUGGAGAGGCAGGAUUGUGUGUAUGUACUUUUGGGUUUUGGAUAUGUAUGUAUAUAU